GUUUAGCAGCUAGCCACCACCAAACUAGCAAGCAACUGACUUUUUCUACAGUUUUUGUGUAUAUUUUUGUUGUUGUUGUUGAACAGACAAUAUGGAAGAGUCUAAUUCCCUUGUAAGUACACAACACUGUGGACAGCCAUUUGUGAGCAGUUGAGCAUAAUAAUGUAAUAAUGGUUGAAAGGGUUAUUGCAUUAGGGAGGAAUGUGCCUCCUCAAGGGAACUGGAAGGUCUUGUUUGGGGAAACAUGAGUUGCUAUUUAAGCGGGAUGUCUCCAAUCAGGAUGUGACGUGGAGCUCCAACAACAACAACAACAACAACAACAACACAAGAAAGGUCACGCUGUACACGCUGAGUAGAACAGUCACUUAUAGUGUUCAUCCAUGGGAGAUUUAAAUGUUUUACUAAAGUAUGUUUGUGUGUUAUUAGCUCACACUGAACAGGCGACGUAGUCGUGCAUCUUGAACUUGGAACUGAACUGAAGAAGUGAUGCGUUCAUGUACAGUGACAUCUGACGUGAAAGUGGGCCAACGUCCGCCCCGCUGCAAAUGUCAUCAGCCCCGAAAUUCCCGCUUUGACAUUUUUUAUCUCGCCGUCUGUCUGGCAUUCAUCUCCACACGCCGAGCACAAACACGUGCAAAGGACGAGGCAAGAAGGGAAGCAGUCGAGGGGGCAACAGAGGAGAAAGUGCGGCCUUGACUGUUUGGAAAUAGAGGGCCACUUUAUCACGCUUGAAGGGCCACGUUUGCAAGUGAAAGCUGCAAGGUGAGGAGGCGGAGGUCCAUCCGACAUCACCGAGAGGUGACGCACAUCAACAUACACACGCCCUUUGACAAAAUGACGUAACGGGGGUAAAUAAUAUGGGAGAACA